UUGCCAAUGAUGGUUGAGAAUUUCUUCACCUGAAAAACCAUGUGGUUAUGUUUUAUCUGAGGCAAA